ACAACCCGUUCUCAUCAGUCUGCGUAUAAAUAACACGACUUUACACUUUCUAUUUGCGUGUAAUGCAUACGCCAAAUGCCAUUUUUGCGUGCAUAUGAUACGCCAAUCCUUCCCAUUAAUUUCGGUGGAGAGCAGAUGCGUCCAAAUAACACGCAUCAUCUUCAGCGGCAGUGACGUCACCAGCGAGGCUCGUUCAGUUCACCUGAUGCGCGUACACCUUCAAACAGUUACGUCGGAUUACAUACUCCACAACAACCUGUAAUCCAGCAGAUCUUUAAAGAAGCCAUCUCUUGUAAAAUCUCUCUCUCUCUCUCUCUCUCUCUCUCUCUCUCUCUCUCUCUCUCUCUCUCUCUCUCUCUCUCUCUCUCUCGCUCUGCUAGAAUUAACAGGGAACUUCAACUCCACGCUCCCAAUGCUGAUAUUGAAGAAGCUGUCAAGGGGGCUGAACAAGUCCUUCAAAGGAUCAACCCUUCACAGGAAGGCCUGUCAUGAGAUUUGAAUUUGACCAUCUUGUGCAUUUAUGAAGAAGACCAAAAGCUGCGAAGGCAAACACUUCCAAUGGAUUUCUCACAGAUUACUUAAUCAUUCUUCAUCAACUCUUCACAAUAUCAGCCCAUUCAAAAGCUUCCAGAUCUUCCUCUCUUGUGUGACACAUCUGCUCUCAGUCCUUUACUGCCAACCUCCAGUCUUAGCAUUUCUGCUUGUAUUCAUUUUUCCUCUACAUUCAUCACUCCAAUCUCUACUAUAAGCACUCCUGUAUAUAUAUAUAUAUAUACUCAUAAUAAUUAUUAUUAUUAUUAACCAUUUAUUUGUUUUGCAUUUAUUCACAAUAGAAGCAAACAAUGAUUACAGGAUAUAUGUUUUUAAAGGUGAUAAUUGUAAAAUAUUGGAGCAUUGUUCUUAAUCAUUUUUGCCUAUUUGGUUGAUAAAGGGAAGAAAACAAUAUAUUUUCAACUGUAGCCUUGAUUAUUCUUUGGCAUCUUUUGUCAGGAUUUCUGUAAACAAAUUCCCUUUUUAUUUUUGAAUAUUAAACUUAUGUUUUUUGAAGGGAGUUUCUGUUGCAAUUUUGUUUGUUUGUUUUCACUUAGUUACCUCUAUGCAUUUUUUUUUUUUUUAUCAACUUUUCUUUUUUUUUCAUAGUGGAAUAAACUGGAGAGAGACUGUUCUGGGCACUAUGUUUAUCUGCGAAAAGUUUGACAUAUCAAUAAACACUGUAAAAUGACUAGACAA